GACGAACCUGCGAACGUUAUUCGGAAUCACUGGGCUUAAAAGCGCGUGUAGGCGGAUGGGAACGUCGGUAGUUGAAAGCCCCCGCUCAACCGGGGAAGUGGUGCCGAAACGACCCGUCUGGAGGGACGUAGGGGGACCUGGAACUUCCGGUGGAGCGGUGAAAUGCGUUGAGAUCGGAAGGAACGCCCGUGGCGAAAGCGAGGUCCUGGACGUCUACUGAACGCUGAGGUG
rnacentral:rRNA from 1 species